rnacentral:rRNA from 1 species
GUCUGAGGCCGUAUCAGCCUGAAGGCGCCCGAUCUCGUCUGAUCUCGGAAGCUAAGCAGGGUCGGGCCUGGUUAGGAUCUUGGAUGGGAGACCACCUGGGAAUCCCGGGUGCUCGAGGCU